GCACUGCCCCCUGCAAGAGAAUGUGCUGGAGGAGCCCCAGUAUCUUUCCGGCGGGAAGUCUGCUCCGUCAAGGCCGAGGGCAGGCUCUAGAAAUGCAGAGACUAAGCAGGCAGAGCCGGAUUCUGGAGCUGCCCUCAGAGGGCUCGAAGGUUAUAUGAGCGCAGCGCUUGAGAAUAGAGAUGGGAUUUCUUCAUGUUGGCCAGGCUGGUCUCGACUCCUGAUCUCAGGUGAUCCACCCGCCUCGACCUCUCAGAGUGCUGGGAUUACAGGCAUGAGCCACUGCGCCUGGCCCCAUCUGACUUCUAUACCCGCAGCCCCUUCCUUUACCCUCAGGCUGCCUCAGUCUCACACUGGGGCCCAGAGCUGGGCCGGACUGAGCACAGUCAGAACCUGGCCCUGUGUGUGGUGAAGGAGCGGCCGGCAGGUGGGGAGGAGUACCGCCAGCUUCCUCCUAGUCCACAGUUUUGCAUAACAGCCUGGAAAGGGAGGCCCAGGCUUCCCUGUCUUGUUGCACGUGCGUCUGCAGUGUCUGUGCCGUCUCCCAAGGGCCUGGACGUCGAUGGAAGGCCUGAGAGUGGAGAGAGCAGGGGUGUGAAGCAUUUCCGGGGCUGUGGCUGCGGCCCACCCUGGCCUCAGCAGCUGUGGAGAUGUGUAGACGGGAAGAGUGAAUGGGGCCAACCUCAGGAGACGCUGGGUCCCAGAAGCGCCACGUGCUGCUCCUUUGGUGAGACUUAAUUACUCUAUAAAAUGUGAGGCUACUCCCACUUAUCAAAUUACAGAUGAGUUUAAUUACAGCGCACUGAGUAACCACACUGGGCUCCUUCAGAAAUGGCGGCAGGCGGGGCUGCUCUUCUCAGCUUCAGCUGUAGCCACCCCAGUGUCAGGAGGAAGUGCCCGGGUUCCUGGGGCCUGGGAGUGCCGCCCAGCUCUGCUGCCAGACAAGAGUGGAUGUGGUGGGCUGCACUGGGUACACUGCUGUACCGGCCACCACCCUCCGGCCACGCUCAGCCAGUGAGUACUCUGCGGGGCCAUCUGGCCACGUGUUCUGUGACUGGGUCAUUUACUCUGCUGCAGCCUCUUUUUCUCCUGCCUACGUUGUGUUCUGGACAAAGGUUUUGGGUCACAGUGUCCGACCAGAGGUGGACAAAGCGGCGUGGGACCUGCCGUAAGAAACAGAGAGGGGGCGUGGCGCGGGCUGAGAAACCUGUGCUUUAUGGAGGCUCGGGGCACCCUCAGGAAGGGGGACCAAGAACAGCAGGCCACUAGGGAGUGGGGAGAGCUCGGGGGCAUCACGAGGGGCAUCAGACUCUUCCCUGCAGGCCGGCGGGACUGACAGGCUGUCGUUCCAAUGGAGGUACAGUGGGACUCCCAGGGCUGUGAUGGGCAGGGCGGAGGAGCUGCCGUUGGUCCCAGUGCCGGAUUAGUGUCACAUUCUGAGGUGUGGCCCUAUGUUGGACAGCAGCUGCUACCUCUCCCUCUGCCCCUUUAUUACUUGCAUCUCUGUGCCAGGCCCUGUCUAGGCACGGGCGUCCAACAGCAGGUGGCCGACUGCCCUCUCAGAGCUCACAGUCUAGCCCAGGGUGACCCAGGGGAACCGUGGCCAUGACUUGGGCCAGGAAAUGAGAGGCUCGAUUCUGUCACAUGUAAAUACAAAUAGUUGUUUUCAAUCUA
rnacentral:lncRNA from 1 species